rnacentral:ncRNA from 2 species
AACACGCACGGCGACUGGCGUACGGGGAAGCGACCCCGGGGGAGCCGUGCGCGGCAGACCACGGGACGCCGCCCGCCUGGGCGUCACGG